rnacentral:rRNA from 1 species
ACGUAGGAUCCAAGCGUUGUCCGGAAUUAUUGGGCAUAAAGGGUGCGUAGGUGGCCUUGUGCGCGAGAGGUGAAAUCUACGGGCUUAACUCGUAGGGGGCUUGCGAACUGGAAGACUUGAGUGCAGGAGAGGAAAGUGGAAUUCCUUGUGUAGCGGUGAAAUGCGUAGAUCUUAGGAGGAGCACCAGUGGCGAAGGCGACUUACUGGAUUGUAACUGACACUGAGGCACGAAAGCGUGGGGAGCAAACAG